rnacentral:rRNA from 1 species
UACUCCGCCUGGAGUACGUCGCAAGAGUGAACUCAAAGAAUGACGGGACCCGCACAAGCAGCGGAGCAUGUGGUUUAAUUCGAAGCAACGCGAAGAACCUUACCUAAACUUGACAUCCCUUGGACCGCUCCUUAAUCGGAGCCUUCCCUUCGGGGACUGAGGUGACAGGUGGUGCAUGGUUGUCGUCAGCUCGUGUCGUGAGAUGUUGGGUUAAGUCCCGCAACGAGCGCAACCCUUGCCUUUAGUUGCCAUCAUUAAGUUGGGCACUCUAGAGGGACUGCCGAGGAUAACUCGGAGGAAGGUGGGGAUGACGUCAAAUCAUCAUGCCCCUUAUGUUUAGGGCUACACACGUGCUACAAUGGCUGGUACAGAGGGCUGCGAAACCGUGAGGUUAAGCCAAUCCCUUAAAGCCAGUCUCAGUUCGGAUUGUAGGCUGAAACUCGCCUACAUGAAGCUGGAGUUGCUAGUAAUCGCGGAUCAGAAUGCCGCGGUGAAUGCGUUCCCGGGUCUUGUACACACCGCCCGUCACACCACGGGAGUCGGGGGCACCCGAAGCCAGCUUUCUAACCUUUUGGAAGAAGCUGUCGAAGGUGAAAUCGAUGACUGGGGUGAAGUCGUAACAAGGUAGCCGUA